ensembl:lncRNA
CAGUAGAUAUGUGACAAAAUAUAAAAUAUGGGCUACGGUAUAUGCAUCACUAAGUUAUUACUGACAUGAGGGCGAAGUCAAAAUGUCUGCUUUGAAAACGUUGAAUUGUACUUGUGAAGCCACAUUCUAACAUGUGUGUGUUGUUGCAGUGUGAUGUCCCCGUCCACCUGCAAGGCAAGCAGACAGGAAGGAGAAUCUCUGGACGCCAGGCAGAGGGCGCAAGGAAGCCUGCAGCAUGCAGACGGUGUCCCUGCUGUAGAGACAACCAGGUGAGACAUUUGAUUCUCAUCUUUGUUCUUUCAAAGUGUUAAAAGUAUGUUGUUAAGUAAGAAGUUUACUGGAGCCUGAUAUCCUCUCGUGUGUUGCUGACCUUCUCCAGGUGCCAGUUGUAAAGCAAAAGCGCCAGCGCUCUCCUGCUUCUGCAGACCUUCCCCAGAAGAGGAAGCAGACCGCCGUGGCCCCCAGACCCACACUGCUGCACUGCACCUUGACAAACCUCUAAAGAUACAGAACCGCUUAGUCGAGGAGUACCAGCAGCUCUACCAUGAAGCUGUAAAUCAUAUGCUGAGGUUCAAGAGCAAUCUGCAAUCUGCAACCACCACCUCCACCUGCAGGUUCUGGCAGACAGCUGAGACAAAACCUCCACCUACAGCCUCUGUAAGCAACCUGCAGGCAGCGCCUCCACCUGGAGAUUCUGGCAGACAGCUGAGACAAAACCUCCACCUACAGCCGCUGUCAGCAAUCUGCAGGCAGCGCCUCCACCUGCAGAUUCUGGCAGACAGCUGAGACAAAACCUCCACCUACAGCCUCUGUAAGCAACCUGCAGGCAGCGCCUCCACCUGGAGAUUCUGGCAGACAGCUGAGACAAAACCUCCACCUACAGCCGCUGUCAGCAAUUUGCAGGCAGCGCCUCCACCUGCAGAUUCUGGCAGACAGCUGAGACAAAACCUCCACCUACAGCCGCUGUCAGCAAUCUGCAGGCAGCGCCUCCACCUGCAGAUUCUGGCAGACAGCUGAGACAAAACCUCCACCUACAGCCUCUGUAAGCAACCUGCAGGCAGCGCCUCCACCUGGAGAUUCUGGCAGACAGCUGAGACAAAACCUCCACCUACAGCCUCUGUAAGCAACCUGUAGGCAGCGCCUCCACCUGGAGAUUCUGGCAGACAGCUGAGACAAAACCUCCACCUACAGCCUCUGUAAGCAACCUGCAGGCAGCGCCUCCACCUGGAGAUUCUGGCAGACAGCUGAGACAAAACCUCCACCUACAGCCUCUGUAAGCAACCUGCAGGCAGCGCCUCCACCUGGAGAUUCUGGCAGACAGCUGAGACAAAACCUCCACCUACAGCCGCUGUCAGCAAUCUGCAGGCAGCGCCUCCACCUGCAGAUUCUGGCAGACAGCUGAGACAAAACCUCCACCUACAGCCUCUGUCAGCAACCUGCAACCACCACCUCCACCUGCAGAUUCUGGCAGACAGCUGAGACAAAACCUCCAGCUACAGCCUCUGUCAACAACCUGCAACCACCACCUCCACCUGCAGAUUCUGGCAGACAGCUGAGACAAAACCUCCACCUACAACCUCUUCCGGCAACCUGCACAGCCAGCUUCUGUCCUAUUGCCAUGUGGAAACCUUAGCGAGGACUGGAGAUACACACAC